GGGGCACCACCAGGAGUGGAGCCUGCGGCUUAAUUUGACUCAACACGGGAAACCUCACCAGGCCCAGACACCGGGAGGAUUGACAGAUUGAGAGCUCUUUCUUGAUUCGGUGGGUGGUGGUGCAUGGCCGUUCUUAGUUGGUGGAGCGAUUUGCCUGGUUAAUUCCGAUAACGAACGAGACUCUAGCCUGCUAAAUAGUCGCAUCCGGUAUCCUCUGUGCUACCGGCGACCAACAAUCUUCUUAGAGGGACAGGCGGCUUCUAGCCGCACGAGAUUGAGCAAUAACAGGUCUGCGAUGCCCUUAGAUGUUCUGGGCCGCACGCGCGCUACACUGAAGGAAUCAGCGUGUCCUCCCUGGCCGAAAGGUCCGGGUAACCCGCUGAACCUCCUUCGUGCUAGGGAUUGGGGCUUGCAAUUGUUCCCCAUGGACGAGGAAUUCCCAGUAAGCGCGAGUCAUAAGCUCGCGUUGAUUACGUCCCUGCCCUUUGUACACACCGCCCGUCGCUACUACCGAUUGAA
rnacentral:rRNA from 1 species